rnacentral:lncRNA from 1 species
UGAUAUGUAUACAAUGCAUAGUAUAGUUACCAACAUAACAUCACAUCUCACCUACAAAAGUACACACUCUCUACUUAAUUAUUUGUUGCAUAUUCUACAUAGCAAACCUGCAUAUUUGGUACAGUGUGGGAAUUAACAUAUGAAAAACUGAAGUAUGCCACUAAAGCAGAAACUUGUGUGUAUCCUCUUACAAAAGGUGCACAAUAAUACAAAGGGAUUGAACCGCAGUUGACACAAUCAAGAUCAACAUCAUUGAGCGUACGCGUAAGGAAAGAAACGCUUGGUACCACAUGGGUGACAUUGUCUAGCCUGUUGGAGGCGGAUCCACGUUAGUGGCCUUAUGCGGUGACAUAACAGAGCGUGUCUAGCCUUCUGCGAUACAAGAGGCAUCAGCAACUCUGAUCCCCAGUGAUGCAACCUACAAAAUAUAAGAAUAAGUUGGCAUUUCCAAACUAUACCAACACUAUAGUAUUGUCCC